AAAGACUUAGUCCUAACCUUGCUGUUAACUCUUGCUAAACAUAUACAUGCAAGUAUCCGCGCCCCAGUGUAAAUGCCCUUAAUUUCUUACUAAGAUAAUAGGAGCUGGUAUCAGGCACACCCACCUAGCUGUAGCCCAAGACACCUUGCUCUGCCACACCCCCACGGGCACUCAGCAGUAAUUAACAUUAAGCAAUAAGUGUAAACUUGACUUAGUUAUAGCAUACCUCAGGGUUGGUAAAUCUUGUGCCAGCCGCCGCGGUCAUACAAGAGACCCAAGCUAACAGCAUCCGGCGUAAAGAGCGGGUACGUACUAUCUAAGCAACUAGGAUUAAAUCGCAACUGNGCUGUCAUAAGCCCAAGAUACGCCUAAAGCCAUCCCCAAGACGACCCUAGCGCCCACGAUUGACUAACCCCCGCGAAAGCCAGGGCUC
rnacentral:rRNA from 1 species